ensembl:lincRNA
AGAUACUAAUUCCUCAAAGGCAGGGACCUUGUUCUACACAGCUUGGGACAUAGAGAACUAACAAAUGUAUUUUGUGAUAAAUGGAAUUAUUCAAGCUGGUUUUUCUGUGUAACAACUUUAAGUUCAGUUCAUCGGUUCAUAUUUCUUUUUCCAGAGGACUGCAUGAGAUUUGCCCGUGCUGGAAAAUAGGAAUUAAUGAAGGAAUAGAAAUGGAAUGGAUUGAAUUUGGAAGCCAGCCGUCUCAUCUUUACUAA